GACGAACGCUGGCGGCGUGCUUAACACAUGCAAGUCGAACGGAAAGGCCCUGCUUUUGUGGGGUGCUCGAGUGGCGAACGGGUGAGUAGCACGUGAGUAACCUGCCCUUGACUUUGGGAUAACUUCAGAAAACUGGGGCUAAUACCGGAUAGGAGCUCCUGCUGCAUGGUGGGGGUUGGAAAGUUUCGGCGGUUGGGGAUGGACUCGCGGCUUAUCAGCUCGUUGGUGGGGUAGUGGCUUACCAAGGCUUUGACGGGUAGCCGGCCUGAGAGGGUGACCGGCCACAUUGGGACUGAGAUACGGCCCAGACUCCUACGGGAGGCAGCAGUGGGGAAUAUUGCACAAUGGGCGAAAGCCUGAUGCAGCAACGCCGCGUGCGGGAUGACGGCCUUCGGGUUGUAAACCGCUUUCGCCUGUGACGAAGCGUGAGUGACGGUAAUGGGUAAAGAAGCACCGGCUAACUACGUGCCAGCAGCCGCGGUGAUACGUAGGGUACGAGCGUUGUCCGGAUUUAUUGGGCGUAAAGGGCUCGUAGGUGGUUGAUCGCGUCGGAAGUGUAAUCUUGGGGCUUAACCCUGAGCGUGCUUUCGAUACGGGUUGACUUGAGGAAGGUAGGGGAGAAUGGAAUUCCUGGUGGAGCGGUGGAAUGCGCAGAUAUCAGGAGGAACACCAGUGGCGAAGGCGGUUCUCUGGGCCUUUCCUGACGCUGAGGGGCGAAAGCGUGGGGAGCGAACAGGCUUAGAUACCCUGGUAGUCCACGCUGUAAACGGUGGGUACUAGGUGUGGGGUCCAUUCCACGGGUUCCGUGCCGUAGCUAACGCUUUAAGUACCCCGCCUGGGGAGUACGGCCGCAAGGCUAAAACUCAAAGGAAUUGACGGGGCCCCGCACAAGCGGCGGAGCAUGCGGAUUAAUUCGAUGCAACGCGUAGAACCUUACCUGGGUUUGACAUGGAUCGGGAGUGCUCAGAGAUGGGUGUGCCUCUUUUGGGGUCGGUUCACAGGUGGUGCAUGGCUGUCGUCAGCUCGUGUCGUGAGAUGUUGGGUUAAGUCCCGCAACGAGCGCAACCCUUGUUCACUGUUGCCAGCACGUUAUGGUGGGGACUCAGUGGAGACCGCCGGGGUCAACUCGGAGGAAGGUGGGGAUGUCGUCAAGUCAUCAUGCCCCUUAUGUCCAGGGCUUCACGCAUGCUACAAUGGCUGGUACAGAGAGUGGCGAGCCUGUGAGGGUGAGCGAAUCUCGGAAAGCCGGUCUCAGUUCGGAUUGGGGUCUGCAACUCGACCUCAUGAAGUCGGAGUCGCUAGUAAUCGCAGAUCAGCAACGCUGCGGUGAAUACGUUCCCGGGGCU
rnacentral:rRNA from 1 species